AGCCGUCGAAGGUGGGACAAAUGAUUGGGGUGAAGUCGUAACAAGGUAGCCGUAUCGGAAGGUGCGGCUGGAUCACCUCCUUUCUAAGGAUAUAUUCGGAAC
rnacentral:rRNA from 1 species